AUAACUUGUCAGACUUCAGCUAAGAUCAUGUGUAGUAUCUGUUCUUAUCAGUUUAAUAUCUGAUAUGUCCUUUAUCCAAGGACAAUAUUGUACAUGGAGUUUUGGAGUAGGGAGAUAGAAGAGGAGGUUAUGCCAUCCACUCCACAUAUCGACCUUGUAAUGCAGUGCCUCCAGGCUUGGUGCACCCCCU
ensembl:snRNA U2 U2 spliceosomal RNA